UACGGUGAGGCGCAAGCGUUAUCCGGAAUUAUUGGGCGUAAAGAGCUCGUAGGCCGGUUUGUCGCGUCGUGCCGUGGAAAGUCCGGGGCCUCAACUCCGGAUCUGACGGUGGGUACGGGCAGACUAGAGUGAUGUAGGGGAGACUGGAAUUCCGUGGGUGUAGCGGGUGAAAUGCGCGAUAUCAGGAGGAACACCGAGUGGCGAAGCAGGUCUCUGGGCAUUAACUGACGCGAGGAGCGAAAGGCAUGGGGAGCAACAGG
rnacentral:rRNA from 1 species